GUGCUUACUUCUGUAGCACUUAUAUUAAAAUUACAAUGAUACAGAGAAGAUUAGCAUGGCCACCACACAAGAAUGACACAAAAAUACAGGAAGCACUCCAUAUUUUU
ensembl:snRNA U6 U6 spliceosomal RNA